GUCCACGCCGUAAACGAUGAAUGUUAGCCGUCGGCAUGCAUGCAUGUCGGUGGCGCAGCUAACGCAUUAAACAUUCCGCCUGGGGAGUACGGUCGCAAGAUUAAAACUCAAAGGAAUUGACGGGGGCCCGCACAAGCGGAGGAACAUGUGGUUUAAUUCGAUGAUACGCGAGGAACCUUACCCGGGCUUGAAAGUUAGUGACGAUUCUGGAAACAGGAUUUCCCUUCGGGGCACGAAACUAGGUGCUGCAUGGUUGUCGU
rnacentral:rRNA from 1 species